rnacentral:rRNA from 1 species
AUGCACGCUGGCGGCGUGCCUCAUACAUGCACGUCGAGCGAACGGACGAGAAGCUUGCUUCUCUGAUGUUAGCGGCGGACGGGUGAGUAACACGUGGAUAACCUACCUAUAAGACUGGGAUAACUUCGGGAAACCGGAGCUAAUACCGGAUAAUAUUUUGAACCGCAUGGUUCAAAAGUGAAAGACGGUCUUGCUGUCACUUAUAGAUGGAUCCGCGCUGCAUUAGCUAGUUGGUAAGGUAACGGCUUACCAAGGCAACGAUGCAUAGCCGACCUGAGAGGGUGAUCGGCCACACUGGAACUGAGACACGGUCCAGACUCCUACGGGAGGCAGCAGUAGGGAAUCUUCCGCAAUGGGCGAAAGCCUGACGGAGCAACGCCGCGUGAGUGAUGAAGGUCUUCGGAUCGUAAAACUCUGUUAUUAGGGAAGAACAUAUGUGUAAGUAACUGUGCACAUCUUGACGGUACCUAAUCAGAAAGCCACGGCUAACUACGUG